CCUACGGGAGGCAGCAGUGGGGAAUAUUGCACAAUGGGGGAAACCCUGAUGCAGCAACGCCGCGUGGGUGAAGGAGCGUUUCGGCGCGUAAAGCCCUGUCAGCGGGGAAGAAGAAAGACGGUACCUGACCAAGAAGCCCCGGCUAACUACGUGCCAGCAGCCGCGGUAAUACGUAGGGGGCAAGCGUUAUCCGGAUUUACUGGGUGUAAAGGGAGCGUAGACGGCAGCACAAGUCUGGAGUGAAAUCCCGGGGCUUAACCCCGGAACUGCUUUGGAAACUGUGCGGCUGGAGUGCAGGAGGGGUA
rnacentral:rRNA from 1 species